GAUGGUGUAGCUCAGCGGUAGAGCAGUUGGCUGUUAACCAAUUGGUCGGUGGUUCGAAUCCACCCACCAUCGCCA
rnacentral:tRNA from 4 species